UAACUACUCGGUAUACACUUGUUGAAUGGAUGGGGGGGGGUGUGUGAACAACCGGAAGCAGAGGGGCCUGGGCCACCCAGGAAGUUGAGUCUGCACUGACCUCAGCGAAGAAAAAUCGCGGGGACAGUAGUAAGACGGGGUGUGGCCCGGACAAAAACUGCAGCGACCUCCCCGUCGGGGAAUCGAACCCCGGUCUCCCGCGUGACAGGCGGGGAUACUCACCACUAUACUAACGAGGACUGGUGCUGCUAGCUAGUGCUCGGGCGGCUCCCUUAAAGGAAUCUCGUUUUUCUCGCGCAUUCUACGGACUCGGAUGCGUUCGCUGGUGGCACGAGCCGUGUUCGGCUUGCGGACGUGGACAUUAGGCGGCCCCCAAUUCCCGCUGGGUCCAAGGCUGCGGCGCUGGGGUGCAGGGUGCGGAAAAGGCAGCCGCAGGGGACCCACACUGCGGACACAAAAGAGGACGCGCCGCGGGGCGGGAGCGAGCUUGCAAAGAAAAGACAAGCUGCCGAAACCCGGGAUCGAACCCAGGGGACCUUUAGAUCUUCAGUCUAACGCUCUCCCAACUGAGCUAUUUCGGCAACUGCUCUGGCUGGCCUCCUUUCGGUCCUCCCUGUCAUGCACACAGCCUGGACCUGCAGUCCCUGGGUUUCAUGUCCGCCCCUGCCCAGCCUUCAAGGUUGCCGCCUCCGCCUUCCAGCGCGGCCCGAGGCUGCCUGCUCAAUGCUGGCUCAUGGCUCACUAUCUUUGUCCCUUACCUGCCAAGGGGAGCAGGGAGGGGGCUGCCUGGGCCACGGCGGUGCCCGAGGGCCUGGACACCCUGGGGCCCGUCUGGGGGGCUUUGUAAAUAUGUGUUGACCCAACCGGCCAGCAGUGAAGGAAUCCCACCUCGCUCGGAGCUUGGCUUCCUCAAGCUCCCUUCUCCACACAAGGCUCACCCUCGGGGCCGGCUUGGGAGGGCGGCGCCGGGGGAUGCCGACCGUGCCGAGGCUUGUGGUCACAGGUGGCCGCCACACCUGUGCGCACCUGCUCAGCUUCCAGUCGAGCAGUUGGAUGUCGGGCACGCAGAGGGCCCCGGAUCCCACCUGCCAGCGGCUUGUCAGUCACUCGGAAGGCACAGGAGCACGCCCCGAGUGGCCACCGCGGCCGGCGCUGACGCGUGCACACUUCUGGAGGCCAGGAGCCCUGAGUCACGGUGCCGGCCAGGUUGGUUCCUCCUGGGGCCCCUCCCGGCAGCUCCCGGGGGAGGGCGGUGGCACUUGGUAGCCUGUGGCUUGGUCUCCUUCCUGCCCGUGGCCUUCCCCUCCCUCCCCUUCUCUCUCCGCAGUGCACACAUCACGGCGCCCCUGGUGAGAGCCCCCAGAUGCUGGCAUCGCACCGGCCUUCCUUCUGCGAAGACGUCCUGUGGCCCGGGCAGGCGCAGCGGUGAGGGCCUCUUUCCAGUCCACGCAGAACCAGCGCCUUGUCCUCGGUCUGCAACUUGACUCUAAAUCAGAAGGUGCUUAGUGCCAACCAUCGGAGAAGCCUGCAGCUGGGAGUUCUCAUCACCGCCGCCUGUCGGUCCUGCUGGGCCAGGCACACGAGGGGACGCCAGCAGGACACACGGGCAGCUCACGUUUCCUGUCCUGGAUCUGACGUUAAGAAAACGCAGCAAGACCCAUUUUCAUUCACCAAGCGGAAGAGAGAUCCUCAGUGAGAGCCAAGGAGCCACCGGGCUGCACCCCACGGAGCAUAGCGGUCUCUCCCCAAGUCCUCCGCGUUAGGGGGCAGACGGCUGUGUGAGCCGUGCAGCGCUGGGAGGGCUCAGUCCGCAUGGCCGUGUGCUGUCCCGUCUCCUCACCCCUGUGCCCCCCUCCCCACUUGGUCCAACAGAGGCACAGCUCUGCCUCCAGACGGUCCUCUCCACUCCUCGCCUUCCUCCUCCAGGCAAACUCUGCAUUUUAAAUUUUUUUCUUUUUCCCCAAAGCAAAUCUCUCUCUGUCUGUCUCUGUCUCUAGGAACCGAGGUGAGACUCACAUAACAUGACCGUCCCCAUUCUAACGUGGCGCUUGGCGCAUCCUGGCUCUGUCUAGUUCCCCAGAAGGGAACCCGCACCCACAUUCAGGCCUCCCCGUGUUCUCCCCCAGCCCCUUGCUACCUGUCCCCAAGAUUUGGGUCAUAAGAAAAAGGGGGGAACCCCAACAAAAUGCAUAAGCGUCACAGGCCAAGCACGAAGUUUGGUCUACUUAGAGUCUAGGAGCAAGCUUUCUCUGUGAAUUCUGGCGAGUCGACUUUGCUCCGCGGGCAGGGCCCUCCCCGUGACCGCGGCUGUGGGUACCUCCGGAUUUUGCCCAGCGACUGGCGGAAUCUAUUUCUACAGCACAGAGCCCGCUGCUGCCCGCGCUGGCCAGGUGGUGCCGGGCGCAGCCCACAGCCGCGGCCGGCGCGGGUGCUGGGGAGCGCAGGACGCGUGGACCCCUGCUCGCCGCGUGAAACGCCUUUUCA
rnacentral:tRNA from 1 species